UCCGGCUUAUCACCGGCAGUUUCUUUAGAGUGCUCAACUAAAUGGUAGCAACUAAAGACGAGGGUUGCGCUCGUUGCGGGACUUAACCCAACGUCUCACGACACGAGCUGACGACAGCCAUGCAGCACCUGUGCACGAGCUCCGAAGAGGGGCCCCUGUUUCCAGAGGCUUUCUCGUACAUGUCAAGCCUAGGUAAGGUUCUUCGCGUUGCGUCGAAUUAAACCACAUGCUCCACCGCUUGUGCGGGCCCCCGUCAAUUCCUUUGAGUUUCAGCUUUGCGGCCGUACUCCCCAGGCGGGGCACUUAAUGCGUUAGCGCCGGCACCCAGGGGGUCGCUCCCCCAGGCACCUAGUGCCCAUCGUUUACGGCGUGGACUAC
rnacentral:misc_RNA from 1 species